UUCUGUUUCGACUGUUUGGAAAUCGUGAUCGGAACUAAAAAAAAGUCUACGACCGACAUUGGCGCGAAUCCUGGUUCAUUGGCAAAUAAUUAUUAACACUAUAUAUUUUACAUUCAUUCCCCAUCCAAAUGUUCUUCAUCAUCGAGUGAAGAAAAAGGGGAGAAUGCCAAAUCGGUGCAAGACUGGAUACUAAAAAGCUUCAUCCCAUCGUAAACGAGCAGCCGAAUCGGUGAACGAGGUGUUAGAAGAAAAAACAGCUCGUGUCGAGCUAGGCAUAGAACUAAUCCUAAUUACAUCUGCCACUCCUGAAUCCUGAUGCCACCGUCUAAAAAAAUCGUGUGACUACCAACGUCAACUAACAAAUCACAAUUUCUACUCCAUCGUUGAUCAGCGAAAGAGAAGAGGAAAAGUCGUUGACAAAAUCGUUGACAAAACCCAGGCAACGACCAGGGUCAACCACGGCACCACGCAAUUAAAGAAAAUUUACCAUUCACACCACGCAAGGGACCAAGUGUGAUGCACUGAUGCUGUUGAAGCACACUCGGGCUAGGUCAUAUGCUAUAUUGAUUUUUUUAGCCGGAGAGGGGUGGCAGGUAAUAACCCGACAGGGUGAGACGUCUCGCGGAGACCAUGUUGCAGACCAUGUUGGUCUGAGGAAACGUGAAAGUCGUGCAGCCAACCGUCAACUAUUUUGUUCAAACUGAUUGCCAUCGAAAUUAUACAAAUCACCAACCCCCGCAUAGACCAAUCUCUCAUUUCAUCUUCUCGAGAUAAGAUUGGAUAACUGAUCGGAGGUUUCAUGUGUUUUAAAUUGGAGGUUUCUAAAUUGGCAUGACAGACUUUAUGAGAAGUCAUGUCCUUUCAAGAAAGUCAACAAAAUCUCUUGUGUUUUUCGCUGCUACUCUUGAAUCUCCCUUUUUACUUUCUUAAGCGGGCCAUCCUUAUUUGAGAGUAAUCCUUCGCUACUUGUCAUGGGCUUCAUUCACUGGUGGAAACAACGAGAGAAUGCUGCAAUCCAAGACUGAUAAAUUAUUUAAUCGUUUGAUUAAAUUACAAGUGCAUAUCUGGGCUCCCUUCUUUCCUGUGGCCCCGU
rnacentral:lncRNA from 1 species